AUGGUUCUCAGAACACAGCCGGUGCCUGCAAGCCGCCCAGGGAGCUUCCGGCCAUCGCACAGAGGCUGCAAGAACCUUGACCCAGCUCAGCAGGCUCAGGAGCAGAGACAAAGCAGAGUCCAUGGUGCAGGUGCCUGGGACCUGGACGAGGAGCAGAGACCAGUUCAGACAUCUGCAAAGGAAGAGUCCCCGGGAAGCAGGCAGCCUGGAGUGCUCCGUGAGUGGACUUUUGGAAGCAACCUUGUACAAAUGAGACCAACAAGGCCCAGGGGUUCGACUAGAGGUAAACCAGCCCCUAGCUUUGUCCCUCUUUUCCCAGGCAGCACCUGGCAUCCUCAGAAACACAGAGCACAGAUCAGGAUCUGCUGCGAGCAGCAAUGACCUGUUGUACAGGGGUAUCUUGAUUUGUAGCCAACACUGACCAGACAGACUCACAGUGCUGGGGAGACAGGUGAGCAGCAAAGGUGAGACACCCAGGGCUCGGCAUUGUCGGGAGAGAGGCUUGGGUGGAGCAAGGACUCAGGUUGGGGUCCCUGGCUCUCAGCCACCAAGAAAGGGGCAAGCAAGCUUCCCUCCUUGGUCCAGGGCUGGGGUGGGGGGCAGAAUAUGCCUGGUCCACAAGGCAUGAUGUAAGAGAAGAGGGUGCCUCUGCCCAGGUACCCUACUGUCACUAAUGGCAGCCUUCAGGGAGAGUCUGGUGGAAGACAAGGAGGAAUUCUAGCCCCAAAAUGAAAUAGGGUGAAUCCUGGGGCUUGCGUUGUGGUGCCAGCAUACCAUAUGGGCACUGGUUCGAGUCCCGGAUUCUCCGCUUCCAAUCCAGCUCUCUGCUGUGGCCUGGGAAAGCAGUGGAAGAUGGCCCAAGUCCUUAGGCCCGUGCACCUGCAUGGGAAGACCCAGAGGAAGCUCCUGGCUCCUGGCUUUGGAUCGGCACAGCUCCAGCCAUUGCACCCAGUUGGAGAGUGAACCAGCAGAUGGAAGACCUCUCUCUCUCUCUGCCUCUCCUUUUCUCUCUGUGUAACUCUGGCUUUCAGGUAAAUAAAUAAGUCUCUAAAAAAUAGGGUGAAUCCA
rnacentral:lncRNA from 1 species